CAAAAACCACUGAUAUGAUCA
rnacentral:siRNA from 1 species